UACGGAGGAUGCGAGCGUUACCCGGAUUUAUUGGGUUUAAAGGGUGCGUAGGCGGCCUGCCAAGUCAGCGGUAAAAUUGCGGGGCUCAACCCCGUACAGCCGUUGAAACUGCCGGGCUCGAGUGGGCGAGAAGUAUGCGGAAUGCGUGGUGUAGCGGUGAAAUGCAUAGAUAUCACGCAGAACCCCGAUUGCGAAGGCAGCAUACCGGCGCCCUACUGACGCUGAGGCACGAAAGUGCGGGGAUCAAACAGG
rnacentral:rRNA from 1 species